CCUGUGGCCGUAACAGUCUCAUCCUGCUGGAGCCAUUAUGAGGCUCUCCCUAUCUUCAUGAUGCCUGUAACUAGGGCACGCUGCUGCCUGGCUGCACAUCCCGAGGGAGCCUGGUGGUGUUUGUGCAAGUGUGAUUGGGCUACAAAAGGGGUGGAGAAAUGCAGUUCUCUGCGCAAGUUAUAUUUAGUGAAUGCAGCUGUGGGAGGCAACAGGAACAAGAGAGCUCUUGUACUGCCAGGGCUCAGAGCUUGCAAGCCUAAAUCUGCUAUUUGCUUUGCAAUACGUUUCUUUCCUUCUACAGUGUUUAUUUGAAUGUAGAUUUGCACUUCAGUGUAGCCGGAGCUCUUCCUGGAGCUUAGAAAUGAGAUGUCACAGUGCCAACUCUGUUAGCUCCUUUUGCAGGCUCUGUACUUUUUUUCUGGGCAAGGAGGGAGAUUUGACCUCAUUUUCUCCAUUGGAGAGGCUAGUGUUGUAGGAAUAGGUGUGUCAUGUAUGCUGUAGCUCUUUUCUGGAGUGGAAGCAGCUCUGCAGCAUGAAGAUGGCCUCUCCCAAGGAGGAGGUCAUCAGCAUCUGGUCAGUGAUGCAUGGCACAGAAAUGCUCCAGCCCACACUAUGUGGCACCCAGCCCUGCUCAGGACGGGAGGUGACGAGCUGAGAUUACUGGGGAGAGGAAAGGACCUCUACACAGCACUGGGACUUCAGAGAGCUUUGGUCAUCAAUGAAGCCAAGAGUCAGAUUCUUGUUAACUGCAAUUGAGUUUUGAAAGGUGCCUCAUUCCCUGUCCCUGCCUUUAAAGGAGUGUUUCCUUUCAAAUUUGUCUCCAACUAUGAAGUGCCUGAGGCAGUGAUUCCUUCAUCACAGGAAAAGAAUGGAAAGAAACCUUUUUUGCAACCUCAAGAUCACUGUUUUCUUGAUUGCCCUUCUGUAUUCUGCUUAGGUUACCUUAAAUCCGCAGGUCAAACAUGUGCUGAAAGCAGUGAGCAUUGAUUGCCAGCAGCACAUGCUGCAUAGAGCUCUGGUACAAAGUUGAUGUACGUCUUUGGUUUGUUUUUGUUAGACUGCAUUAUUAUGAUAAAGAAUAUAGUAAUUUUGAUUUAUAGAAAUUACUUUUCCAGCAUAUACUAAUACACUUUUCUGAACCUCUCAAUUAGGUUCUGUUUUCUCCUAAGCUUAAUUUCGUUUUAGCAUCACUUGAGUAGACUUUCUGUAUUUAAAUAAUUGAUCUUCAAAUUCAUUUUUUGUUCCAGUUCUUAUCAUUUUCGAGUGUGUAAAUGUAUAUAAAGACAAUCCUUUAUUAAUAUUUUAAACAUGUCUUUGUUCAUGCAGCAGAAGUUCUGUCUCCCAAUAUUCAUUAUCAGUACUUGAUUUGUUAGCCAGCAGCGCAAUAUUUUAAUAAUUGGAGUUGAAAAAAAAAAAAGUCAGUUAUUAAAAUCCCAGUGUUUCAAUUUUGCUUGUUAUGAUCCUGAAUUAUUCAAGCAUUUCACUUAAUUUCCUGCACAUACGCACUUGUAUUCCCCAUACGUUUCCCUCCACGAAGUGUUCUGGAAUCUUGUUUGUCUUCUGUACGUGUGCGCUCUUACUCGGAAUUCUCGCAGUUCCUUCCAGAUCCUUAGGACAACAUUCCAUUUAGACACACCAAGAAAAGCUGGAGUGAUUCCACUGACCUAAAUGUAAUCACUCAGAGCUGAAUUAAAGGCACAGAUGUGCAAGUUAAGGUCUAUACAUCUGGAGUAGCAAGAAGAGAUGAAAAUCACAGCUUGUGUUAACACAUUUAAAUGUUUCUAAACUUUAAAAUGAGACAGUUUGUAGAGCAAGUUAAUAACUUUUGGUUGCACCCAG
ensembl:lncRNA